ACCUUCCAGAUUCCUCACUCCUCAGAUCUAAAUAAUGCUCUGAGUGGCUAAAAAAGGGAGAAAAAGUAAAAUUGAAGUGAACUUGGAGUCUUUUGUGACAUUUCAAACAUAU
rnacentral:snoRNA from 1 species